rnacentral:rRNA from 1 species
UGGGGAAUUUUGCACAAUGGGGGAAACCCUGAUGCAGCGACGCCGCGUGAUUUAGAAGGCCUUCGGGUUGUAAAAAUCUUUUUUACGGGAUGAAAAUGACAGUACCGUAAGAAUAAGGUCCGGCUAAAUACGUGCCAGCAGCCGCGGUAAUACGUAUGGACCGAGCGUUGUCCGGAAUCAUUGGGCGUAAAGGGUACGUAGGCGGCCUAGUAAGUUAGAAGUGAAAUAAUAUAGCUCAACUAUAUAAAGCUUUUAAAACUGCUAUGCUUGAGUGAUGGAAGGGAAAGUGGAAUUCCUAGUGUAGCGGUGAAAUGCGCAGAUAUUAGGAAGAAUACCGGUGGCGAAGGCGACUUUCUGGUCAUCAUCUGACGCUGAGGUACGACAGCGUGGGUAGCAAACAGG